GACGAACCACACGAACGUUAUUCGGAAUUACUGGGCUUAAAGGGUGCGUAGGCGGCGCAGAAAGUUGGGUGUGAAAUCCCUCGGCUCAACCGAGGAACUGCGCCCAAAACUACUGUGCUUGAGGAAGAUAGAGGUAAGCGGAACUUACGGUGGAGCGGUGAAAUGCGUUGAUAUCGUAAGGAACACCUGUGGCGAAAGCGGCUUACUGGGUCUUUUCUGACGCUGAUGCACGAAAGCUAGGGGAGCAAACGGG
rnacentral:rRNA from 1 species